rnacentral:rRNA from 1 species
AGAGUUUGAUCCUGGCUCAGAACGAACGCUGGCGGCAGGCUUAACACAUGCAAGUCGAACGCCCCGCAAGGGGAGUGGCGCACGGGUGAGUAACGCGUGGGAACCUACCUAUCGGUACGGAAUAACACAGGGAAACUUGUGCUAAUACCGUAUGAGCUCUACGGAGGAAAGAUUUAUCGCCGAUAGAUGGGCCCGCGUCCGAUUAGCUAGUUGGUGAGGUAACGGCUCACCAAGGCUUCGAUCGGUAGCUGGUCUGAGAGGAUGAUCAGCCACACUGGGACUGAGACACGGCCCAGACUCCUACGGGAGGCAGCAGUGGGGAAUAUUGGACAAUGGGCGCAAGCCUGAUCCAGCCAUGCCGCGUGAGUGAUGAAGGCCUAGGGUUGUAAAGCUCUUUCGUCGGGGAAGAUAAUGACGGUACCCGAAGAAGAAGCCUCGGCUAACUCCGUGCCAGCAGCCGCGGUAAUUC